ACAGAAACGCCGUCCGGUAGGCGUACCGGGGUAGACGGCUUUAAGUGUUGAAAAGCCGUGAGUAGCGGCAGUCGGACAGAUCCAGUACAGACAGUUGGUGAGGCAUUUCUUCAUUGAGAGCCGGAGCCCGUGGAACCGAGGUCCACCCGACUACUAUCGUGCCUUCACAACUGGUGCGGCGACCCACAAGAGGUACCGCGUGCCCUGGACGCUCCGUAAAACCUGCCGACCAGGAAGAAGACAUUUACGCAGCCACAUCGCGCUUCUCCACCGGCAACGAAGAGUCCGCCUCCAGAUCGCCAUGCUGCUGCAGCUGCUAGUCCUGACCCUGCUGGCCUCUUCGUUCGAGCCAGCCAGUGGCCAUGCCAUCAUAACGCCCCUGCCAGUCACGGCCCCGCCAUGCCCGGAACCUGCGGGGCCCACUGGUUAUGCUCCUCCUCCAGCUGGUGGCUCCUCCAGCUCUUCCAGUUCCGACUGAUCUUCAUAGCCGGAUUUGGCUUUGAACGUCUCAGAAGUCUGCCUGUGACACCCACCGGGGCUGCUUGUGACUUCCAGUGGCCGGGUCAGCACAACCUAAGGCGUGAUCGACACGGAGAUCCCACGUCACGGAAAUGUUAUGGAUUGUCUGGUGAACACGUGCUGGACAACAGGUGUUUUCUGGAAGCCUUCACUUCCUAAACUUUUUUCUGGGUUUGCGGUACGCUCUCCAUAUAAGUGUGUGCUGUUGGAAAACAUUUGGACGAAUCUUGUUUAACCUGGAGUGAACACGUGGAGGGAAACCGAGAUUUUUUCGGGAAACUUUACCUUCCGAAAACAUUUUUUCUGGGUUAAGUGUGUGUUGUCCAUACAAAGGUAUGCUGUUGGAAAACACUUAGAUGAAUCUUGUUGAUCGACCAUGAAAUGUUACGGAGCACCCUUAAAAACCAUUGAAUCAUCCCAAUAUGUGCCUGGUUCAAUAACAGAAACAACAUGUCCCAGCUCCUCUUGUGUUUCGUAACGCAGCCUGUUCUUGCCUUUCUGGACGCUAUUUUCAA